rnacentral:lncRNA from 1 species
UUUCCUCAAGAAAAUGAAAAGCCCCCUUCAAACUAUCCCAAAUCAGAGAAAAAAGCCCUCUUCAAACUAUCCCAAAUCAGCAUCCCAUCUUCCUAAAUGAGCAUCUCAUCUUCCUUUUCUCUCUCUAAAAAUCAGUUAGGGCCUCUUCCAUUAAGGUUCUUUCUUCUCUCUCUCAAAAUCCGUUAGGGCCCCAUCUAUUAGGGUUUGUGAAAAUCAUUUUCU